rnacentral:rRNA from 1 species
ACCAGACUCCUACGGGAGGCAGCAGUGAGGAAUAUUGGUCAAUGGCCGAGAGGCUGAACCAGCCAAGUCGCGUGAGGGAUGACGGCCCUACGGGUUGUAAACCUCUUUUGUCGGGGAGCAAAGCGAACCACGUGUGGUUCAUUGAGAGUACCCGAAGAAAAAGCAUCGGCUAACUCCGUGCCAGCAGCCGCGGUAAUACGGAGGAUGCGAGCGUUAUCCGGAUUUAUUGGGUUUAAAGGGUGCGCAGGCGGAAUGUCAAGUCAGCGGUAAAAUUUCGGGGCUCAACCCCGUCGUGCCGUUGAAACUGGCGCUCUUGAGUGAGCGAGAAGUAUGCGGAAUGCGUGGUGUAGCGGUGAAAUGCAUAGAUAUCACGCAGAACUCCGAUUGCGAAGGCAGCAUACCGGCGCUCAACUGACGCUCAUGCACGAAAGCGUGGGUAUCGAACAGGAUUAGAUACCCGUGUA